UCCCUGCUCUGGUUCUAGAUGGGAUCCCAGCUUUGCCUGAGGGGAUAGUCCCUUCCUGAAGCGCGUAGUCUAGAAGAGAGCUGGCUUUCUAUUUCCCACCAGCCACAAGGCACCAAAACCUUGCCUACCAUCCUAACAACAAAGAGAAAUUCAACCGACGCUCAAAUCCUUCUGUUCCAUUUCUUGGCUGGGUGACAUUGGAGGAGUGAGCCCACCUCUCCGAGCCUUGGCUGCUCCAUUUGUAGGAUCCUCGUUGUGAGUCCUGGCCCAGGAUGUUCGUAAAAGGUAAAGUGUGCUCAGUGUGGCUGAGUGUGACACAUGUUCAGUGGCCACCGUAAACUGAAGUCUCCACAACGGAGAGGGGGUUUCCUCUCAGCCAAGUCUCUGAGAACAUUUGGGCGGUCCUGAGACCCAAACAGUUUGCACCCCCAUUUUAAUAAUGAAUGCCCAGAUUUACAAAUUCACUAGGACUUCAAAUGGGACUAUGGCAAAGAGGUGUCCUGAAGCCUGAACUCUGCGGCGGCUCUGAAGUCUAUGUCAAAUAGAUUCCAGAAGUCACUCCCAAAGAGUUUGGGUAGACCCCAAAAGCCUAAGACUUUCUAGAACUUCCAGAGCAGUGCCCACUGAGGCACCCCAGCAGAAUUCAAGUUCUCAUGGUGAGCAAAGAAGACUCUCAGUGGAGAACAGGAGAAUCUUUCUCUCCUGAUGCCAGCUACUUAGGCCCAAGCAAGUGGACAACUGCUUCUUGCCUGGGCAUUGGCUUGUUGGAUUUAACAAAUGAAAACAAUAAAUGUUUAAUUUCAGAUACAUAACAAGUAAUUUUAAGGUGUAAGUAUGUCCCAAAUAUUGCAUGGAACAUUUAGCUGGUCGACCUUAUCCAUGUCUGGCAACCAUGUCUGCCAGGACUAUAGUCAAGUUCAGGGCCUGGCAGGGGGAAGUGAAGUUGCUGAAUUCUUUCUCAGGCAAGAACGUGGCAACCCAAGCUCGGGAUGUCUCUUUCAGAUGUAUCCCAGUUCUGAAAAGCAGCUGGGGACCCUUGAUCUUCAGCACAAGGAUAGCCAGCGUGUGCACGGAAGUUGGGGGGAUGUGAGAGGGGCGUGUAUUUUGGUAGUAAUGGUUACUGCCUCCCAAGCUAGUCAGGGACUCCAUUGUUAGAGGCACCCAGAGGCAGAUGGCUAUAGAGUGGUGAGAAUAUUAAUUCUUCUGUCCUGGUCUCUUUCUACAGUGACAUUUGCAAUAUCUGUGAGUGGUGUUGCAUAAAAUGUAUGUGCAGGUAGGUGCCAGAAGCAACUAUCCCUGUAUCUUUAUCCAUUUUCUGUUGCUAUAACAAAGUACCCGGGUCUGGUCAUUCAUAAAGAACAGGGGUUUAUUUGGCUCGUGGUCUAGAAGCUGAGUGGUCUAAGAAUGUUCAGCUGGCAUCUGGGGAGGGCCUAGUGCUGCCUCCUAAAUGGUGCAGGGUAUCUCACGGCGGCAUACAGUCUGGCUGUGUCUUCCUUUCUUACAAAGUCAUCAGUCCUAUCUUGCUGGCUCCAUGCUCAUCACCUCAUCCAAUGCUGAUUGUCUGCGAGAGGUCUGACCUCCAGUGCUGCUGGCAUAUGAACUGGAGGUUGUGGGGGUGAGUUUCUAGCAUGCGAACUUUAAGAGGACACGUUCAAGUCAAGCACUCUAUGCUAGGAUUUUGUUGCCAGCCACUUUAGAAAACCGCAUUUCCAUCAACUUACGGGCAUGUUCUGUAGCUAGAGUUUUUCUGCCUGACCCACAGUCAGGACAAAUCUUUGUCAUCCGCCAGUCCCACAGCUGCUCAGACCCAACCAAGUAAACACAGAGACUUAUAUUGCUUACAAACUGUAUGGCCGUGGCAGGCUUCUUGCUAACUGUUCUUAUAGCUUAAAUUAAUCCAUUUCCAUGAAUCUAUACCUUGCCACGUGGCUCGUGGCUUACCGGCAUCUUCACAUGCUGCUUGUCCUGGUGGCAGCUGGCAGCGUCUCUGACUCAGCCUUCCACUUCUCAGAAUUCUUCUCCUCCUUGUCCCGCCUAUACUUCCUCCUGCCUGACUACUGGCCAAUCAGUGUUUUAUUUACUAACCAAUCAGAGCAACACAUUUGCCAUACAGAACAUCCCACAGCAUGUUCUCCUGAAAGAGGCAAGUUAGAGACUCCUCUACAUGCAUACACGGUCCCCAGAUGGGCACACCUCUUCAGUGUUCAGCUUGCCCACAGUCACAGGUUUUGUAGGCCACCUGGCCUAUUUACCAAGAAGCCAUAUUGGAACCCGGCCUCCUGCCUCUGGUGGCUACAGAUUCCAGGGCCCCAGAGUACAACCUGUUCUCCUGUUUCUGCUGGCCCUGGGCUCAGGCAGGAGCUCCCAUCUAUUCUCUGCCACACCAGGUGGCCCCUGUGGAAUGACCCACAGACAAGGUAAUGAGGUAUGCUGUGUCCUGAGUGAGCCAACAGCCCCUCUGUGGGGAGGUGUCUGUGUAGCUAUUUCUGCAGAGGUGGAAACUGAAGCUCUGAGCAUGGGCAGACUUUGAACCCCUCCUGCAUGCCUACAUUUCACAAGGGCAUGUGAUGGCUAGAGCAGGGUUCUUUCUCCUUGCUGCUACUGUGAACCACACUCAUGCGAGAUUUAAAUAGUCUCGCCCAUGCUCCAGACUGUUCAUAUUUCUCAAACUUCUUGCAGGUUCUUAGUCUCUGUCUAGUGACACUUAAUUCUUUGCUGCUUGGGGCUGCUGCAUUUGGAGUAUCUUGGCCCCUAGCCACUAGACACCAAUGACACUGCCACCAUCUCUGUCACAAACACAGAGAUGACCAACUAUCCCUGGGGUGGCUGCAUGGCAGAACUGGCCUUGCUAAGAACCCAUACCAUAGAAUCACCACUGCUAAGAGUUUCUCUCAAAUCUUUUCAGGCUGUUUCUAAGCGUGUAUUCCAAGCUUGUAUUUAAAAAAAACACAAACAAACAAAACCAGAUGGCUUUAGAUACGCAGUUCUUGCACUACUUGUUGUUUUCAUGUGACAAUAGAUCUUGGCCCUCAUUCUGUAUGUGCACCCUGCAUUUCUCCUGGAACAACUGCACGCCAUUGCUAUCUUUUGUCUUCUGUCACACUAUCUGCCACAGCUGUGACUGGCAUGACAGUCCCCUCACAUAGCAUCUGAGUCGCUCCUCUCUUUGGGUUUUGGCGUUAGCAGCACACCCACCCUAGUCUAUCCACUCAGCAUCCUCACCCAUGUCCUUUUGCAGCACACCCACCCUGGUCUAUCCACUCAGCAUCCUCACCCAUGUCCUUUUGCAGCACACCCACCCUGGUCUAUCCACUCGGCAUCCUCACCCAUGUCCUUUGGCAGCACACCCACCCUGGUCUAUCCAUUCAGCAUCCUCGCCCAUGUCCUUUUGCAGCACACCCACCCUGGUCUAUCCACUCAGCAUCCUCAUCCACGUCCUUUGGCAGCACACCUGGUCUAUCCACUCAGCACCCUCACCCAUGUCCUUUUGCAGCACACCCACCCUGGUCUAUCCACUCGGCAUCCUCAUCCACGUCCUUUGGCAGCACACCCACCCUGGUCUAUCCACUCAGCAUCCUCACCCAUGUCCUUUGGCAGCACACCCACCCUGGUCUAUCCACUCAGCAUCCUCACCUAUGAAGGGGUUUAGAACUAAACUCCUUUGUGUGUGUUGAGUGAGGGGGUGUUUUGGGGGCUGUGUGCAUGUGUAUACGUGCAUGUGGAAGUGAGGGGGAUGUCAGGUGACAAUUGCUUCUCCACUUUGCUGUUGUUGUUGAGACAUGCUCUCCCACUGAAUUUGGAUCUCACUGAACGACCAGCCAGAUUGCAGCGUCUUCCUGCCCCCUCCCUGACAGCUGAGCCUGUUUCCUUUGUUUGUUUUUACAGAGAUGCUAGGAAUUUGAUCUCAGAUUCUCAAGCUUUAUCAACUGAGCUGUUCUCCCUAGGUCCAGGCCUAGGCUCUUAAAAGGGGAAGCACUGGACCAGAGGUAUAUACGUUUUAAUUCUGAUCUGCCACAUUAGUCUCCAAAAUGGUUUUGCCAAUUUGCCACAGAUGUCUUGAUUAAAAGCAUCCCAUAUUUGUGAGCACCCAUUGUGUUGCGUGUAUUAACUUGUGUUAUCUUAUUCAGUUCCUGCUACCAUUGUUCUCAGCAGGGUCUGUCUGUAUUUCCCUCUGGCAGCUUGUCAGUGGCAGAAACUGGAACCUGGCCUCUUUGUCUCAGGUGGGAACUUGUUUCUUUGCUAGUACCUUGAGCUGUCACAGUCUUUCUGUGAUGUCUGCCCACUGUCCCCAGGUUCUAAUGAGAUCACUGAUGACGAGAGUAGUUGACCUGCUUUGUCUUUGCCAGAGUGGCAGAUCCAGCCACAAAUACAGAAUCUGUUCGUUUUUUUUUUUUAAAUCCUGGGACGCUUCUGGUCCACCUCCUCUAGGAAGCUCUCCAGGAUUGUUCCAGCAGUCCUCAGCUGCCCUCUAUACAGCUCUGUGGGAGCCCUGGGAAUCUGCAGCAGGCACUUGAAGCCAACAGGGUAGAUGUGUGGGUGGAUAGGAUGUUAUGGGCACAGAUCCGGUAGACUUAGGUCAGAAACCUCCUCUGUCAUUUGUCACACAAGAGAUCCCUGUAGGGCUCUGGGUACUCAAUGUCUUGAUUUCUGUCAUAGCUGCUUCCCUUCUCUGCUUUACUUUUCCAGUGUUUCAAUGACCCACAGUCAACUGUGCUCCAAAAAUAUUAAAUGGGAAAUUCCAGAAAUAAACAAGUCCUAGGUUUGUCGGGCAGUGGUGGCACACGCCUUUAAUACCAGCACUCGGGAGGCAGAGCCAGGCAGAUGUCUGUGAGUUCGAGGCCAGCAUGGUCUACAGAGUGAGAUCCAGGACAGGCACCAAAACUACACAGAGAAACCUUGUCUCGGAAAAAAAAAAAUUUACUAUUUACGUAAAAGUAUUAUGUGUACUUGUGUGUUUAUGCACUGCAUGGGUGCAAGUGCCCUUGGAGACCAGAAGAGGGUGUCAGAUUCCAUGAUACUGAAGUUACAGGCCCAUUAUGAGCCACCAUUGGUGGUGCUGGGAACUGAACCCAGGUUCUCUGCAAGAGCAGAGAGUGCUCUAACCACUGAGCCAUCUCUCCAGCCCCUCUGUGUCUCAUUUUACAAGAUGCAAUGUCUUGCUUUAUGUCUCUACAGAAGCAGACACUAAGAUGAGGAUUUAUGACAAGGCUGUCAGGGCCAAAGGAAACUUCAGUCCCCCAAAUUUUGGGUCCCAUACUCCUCUACCAAAGGAGUCAUUCCUCAUCACGGUCAGAAGGGACAAAUGGCUACCUGUGGCACCUAUUGGCAUACUAAAGUGCUCAAUGGCCCCCAGGCACACUCAGUACCUGUGGCUCUUUUUAGCUCUUCUCAGCCCAACCCCUACCCUAAACCUCUCCAGAUCAUGGGCUUCCCAUCCCCCAGCUUCUCAUUCCCAUAGAAUCCUACCAUUUCUCCUGUGGUGAUAUACUGUGUACCCUAAUAAACUUGCCUGAGGAUCAGAGGACAGAGCCAGCCACUAGAUUAGAUAUAGAGGCCAGACAGUGGUGGCACACACCUUUAAUUCCAGCACUUGAGAUCUCAUGCCUUUGUUUGGGAAGCACACACGCCUUUAGUCCCAGGAAGUAAUAUGGCAGGGCAGAGAAAGGUAUAUAAGGUGUGAGGAAACAGGAACUCGCUCUCUUUAGGCUGAGGAAUUCGUAGAGGUAAGAACUAGUGACUGGCUGUUCUGCUUCUCUGAUCUUUCAGCUUUCACCCUGAUAUCUGGCUCUGGGUUUUUUAUUAAAAGACCAUCUAAGAUUCAGACAACAUUCUCCUCUUUUUUGUCUCCUUUCCUUGGCCUCCUCUCUCUUGCCCCUUGCUCUUGGUCAUCUCCUCUCUCACGCACACUCUCUCUCUUCUGUCCAGGCUGCUGACAUGUUCACUACUUUUUCUCCCUGCUCUGGACUCUUCCAGAUGCCUCUGGCUGUCCUCUCCCUCAUAUCUACAAUAGAAACCUUCCCCUCAACCAUACCUAGGAGCUGUCAUGCCCUCAGCUUAUAUAUCUGGUGCCCAAACCCUCAGUUUAUACAAAGUCAUUCAUUUCAGGAGUUUCUUAUCAAAGCAGGAUGGUGAGACAAGGAAGGGGACCAAACCACUGAACGGGGGCACUGGCAUAGCCCGCUGGGCUCUGUGCCCACACGAGCUUCUGCAGCUGCCACGCCAAGGGAAUCAAGCUAUCACAGCUUGAUCCUCCUCUAGGUCUGGGGGAGACCUGUUGCUUGGCUGACCACAAGGUCUUGCCAUAGCUUCAGGGGGUAGAGGAGAUGUCUAUGAUAACCACCAACACAGCCUCCUUCAGGCAGCUUGCAGGAGCUUCAUAAUGAGCCAAUCCCUACUCAUCUUGGGUUUACCAUUGUCUUGAUUAGGUUUUGUUGUUGUUGUUAUUGUUGUUGUUGUUGUUGUUGUUAUUUUGUCAACUUGACACAAGCCAGAGUCAAAUGGAAAGAAGAACUUCAACUGAGAAAAUGCCUCAAUCAAAUUGCUCAUAGGCAAGUCUGUGGGGGCAUUUUCUCGAUUGCUAAUUGCCCCACUGGGGGCAGUGCCACCCCAGCGCAGGCGGUCCUGGGCUGUAUCAGAAAGCAGGCUGAGCAAGCCAUGCAGAACAAGUAGCAUUCCACUGUGGCCUGGGCUUCAGUUCCUGACUCCCGGUUCCAGUCUGGAGCUCUUGCUUUGGUUUCCCUGGUGACGGACUAUAACCUGUAAGCUGGAACAAACCCUUUUCUCCCCAAGUUGUUUUGGUCCUGGUGUUUCGUAACAACAGUAGGAAGCAAGUGAAGACAAUCACUGACCUUGCAUCUCCCGCCAGCUCUGCAAUCCUAAAAGUCCAUUUGUCUCACUUCCUUAGCUUUUCCUAUCACCGUGCAGGCCAACAACAAACCUUUGCUGAUUAUCUCAGGUACCUUGUUAUGGUACCAGAAAGUGGGAAACACAGUGGGACUGGUCCUUCCUUAGAUGCCCCUGAGGAAAGUCAUCUCACUGUAACCGACACUAUGCUGGGCGGGGACUGUCAAUCAUUUCCUAUCUGACACAGAGCCGAGGAGGAGAGCAGUAUCAUCCCAAAUGAGAAGACUGAGACCUGGAGAUAGUCUCAGAGGCAGUGCAUGGUAAAGCUGCGCUUGAACUCCAGUCUUUCUGGUCUAGAGAUUUCCUUAACCCACCAUGCUGUUUAUUUUUAAACAAAACAGGUUUUGGCUAAAUUGCAGUUUAGGCUUACAAAAAUCAAAUGCUAUCAAUGAUCUUCAAGAUUUAGCACCAAGUUUUAUUUGGGCCAUGAUUUUCCUAAGACCAGAUCUCUCUCUCUCUCUUCUUCCUCAAGAGAGGAAAGGCCCCAGUCCAUUCAUAUUUGCCUUGAUUUUCCUGUACACACACAUGUAUGCACACUCAUGCACACCGCACACAUGUGCACACACACACAGAGAGGCAUGUUUCUUCUGUUCUCCUUUGAACUGGAGAAAAGUAGCCAUGGCUGUGGCUUGGGGAUGAAGUUUAAGAGCAAGUCAAAUAUUUGGAGAGGAUGACAUUGAAAAGCAAGAAGCACGCUAAUUGGCAAGGCUUCUUAGAGAUGAGAAGAGUUUCCCACAAUGCACUGCAGGAGAGUAAGACCCAGACAAAGGAAAGCGGCUGUGUGCAUUGACUCCCUGCUCUGUGUGUGGCUGUGGUCCCGUGGUACUAUGCAGUCAGGUAUAUGUGAAGGCACUUGCACACUGGAGAAAAGGGGAAUCGGGACUCACAGGCCUGGGUUCUGCUCAGCACUGCCACCAGCCAGUGCCCCGGAAGAAAUCACUAACCUGGACCCGAAGCCCACGUCUUUGAGAACUGAAUGGGGAGUGUGCCAUUUUUCUACUCCAUGCAGAUCUGACAGAGCAGCCUUUUCCAAUUAAACAAGGAAUUCUGCUGAGGGAUACACACCUUAACCAGCAGGAAUGGAUGUGUUUACUCAAAGUUAGCCAAUGUUUAUGAAGCCCUUAGUACAAGCCAAGAAGUGGGCAAACCACCAUGACUCAGUUCCCUCCGCCACCCAGGGCCUUCAUCCUCCCACACUAAUAGGGAGACUGAGGCUGGGAGAGGCUCAGUGAUUUGUUCAAGUCACAGGGUGGAAAGAAAAGCAAAAGGAAAUGACAAGAAACACCGGCAAAUCCAGAGCUCCUUGGAAUCUGCUUCAAAUGGGGCUGGGUGAGCUGAUACUAUCACCCGAGAGAGUGGAGGCCUGACCUCCUCAUGAGGCCCUGGCUGGCGGCAGCUCAGGAGUGCAACCAGAUCUGCUUGGAGAGGCCACACUAGUCAUCCACUGGGCCAGAAACCUGAGCUGCUUCUGAGACGAGCUGGAAGGCAGCCAGGGACCUGGGGACCUGUCCGAUCUCCGCUUCACCCUCACCGGCUAAGUAGCUUUUGGCCUUUGUUAAUGGCGCCGUCUCAGAUCAUUGCCAGGGAACCACUGGUCAUAAGGGGGAAUCUGGGAUUAGAGGCUCAGAACUCCCUCACUGGCAAGCUUUCGGGGGAGAAUGCCAGGUCCCAAGUGCCUUCCUCCUGUGUGUUCAAUUCUGUCACCCUCCCGGAUGCUGCCCUGACAGGAGCUGACUGUUCUUGCCGUGAAUCCUUGUCUGCAGUUACUAUUUCAACAUUGUUCCCUGGGAAUUCUUUCUCUUCCUCUUUCCCGGGCACCUCCUCACCACCUCCCCGUCCUGUGUACCUUGGAGCAACCUGUGACACCCAUGAGCGCCACUCAGGGAGCAGGAAAAGGAAGAACCAUGAAGAUGAACAUAUGGAAUCUACCAGUAAGCCUCCCAGUGAUGCCAGUUUGCUGAGGCUGAAGCUGAGAAAAUCACAGACAAAUCGGGACAGUGGCCACUUGGUUAAUGUGCAGCAUAUAGGAAGAUUCAAACACCAUUCACUUGGCCACUCUCAAAAUGUAGCCCACUGGGCAGAAACAGAGAAUUCAAGGGAAGAAGUCCUACAUCCUGGGUGCCAUAGCAUUGCUGCUCCGAACAAAUUGCAGGGGCUCGGGGAAGGCAGCUGAGAAACCUGGGUGCAGUGCACAGAAGAAAAUCUUUCUUUGGUUCUGACAUGCUUUUAACAUUUUUGAAAAACACGGCACCUCUCCAAAUUUCACUCUUAAAUGGAAAUCAAACAGGCCCAGGCCCUAAGCCCAGAGCCUUUGAUGGGCAGCCCUAUUUCUCCAUAAUUUAAUAGCAUUGUUUUAAUUUCAUGGCAUUUCUUUUUAUGGGCAGCUUUUAUCUACAGUAGGUGGUACUGGCUUUCUAUUCACAGUGGUGAGUAACUUUCCCACUUGGAGAAAUGUAUUUUAAGUUUUUGAUGCGAGGCGAGCCAAAGACAGAUAAUAAAGCAUACAGCAUAUGGUCUACAGCUAUGGCAAAACCGUCUAUGGCUUUCAACAACUGAGGCUGGAAAAUAGGAUGGGAGGUCAGAGGCCAGCGGCCCAAGCACCGCUCACCAGGCAGAUGCCAAGGCUGAAACGGAAAAGAUGGCUUAGUGGAUGAAUCAGAGACUGACUCUGGAAAAGGCCAGGGGACCCGUCCCAUGACCGUGAGCAGACAGAAACCUCCUGACAUGAUAGAGAACAGGCCUAGUGUUGAACUUAGCAAAAGGCCCUGCUCCUGGGUCCAGA